rnacentral:rRNA from 1 species
AUUGAACGCUGGCGGCAGGCCUAACACAUGCAAGUCGAGCGGAUGAAGGGAGCUUGCUCCUGGAUUCAGCGGCGGACGGGUGAGUAAUGCCUAGGAAUCUGCCUGGUAGUGGGGGAUAACGUCCGGAAACGGGCGCUAAUACCGCAUACGUCCUGAGGGAGAAAGUGGGGGAUCUUCGGACCUCACGCUAUCAGAUGAGCCUAGGUCGGAUUAGCUAGUUGGGGGGGUAAAGGCCUACCAAGGCGACGAUCCGUAACUGGUCUGAGAGGAUGAUCAGUCACACUGGAACUGAGACACGGUCCAGACUCCUACGGGAGGCAGCAGUGGGGAAUAUUGGACAAUGGGCGAAAGCCUGAUCCAGCCAUGCCGCGUGUGUGAAGAAGGUCUUCGGAUUGUAAAGCACUUUAAGUUGGGAGGAAGGGCAGUAAGUUAAUACCUUGCUGUUUUGACGUUACCAACAGAAUAAGCACCGGCUAACUCCGUG